GAUGAACGCUAGCGGCAGGCUUAACACAUGCAAGUCGAGGGGCAGCACAAGUAGCAAUACUGGGUGGCGACCGGCGCAAGGGUGCGUAACGCGUGAGCAACAUGCCCGUAUCAGGGGGAUAAUCCAUGGAAACGUGGUCUAAUACCCCAUAGUAAGUUUUUGAGGCAUCUCAAGGAUUUUAAAGCUUUGGUGGAUACGGAUUGGCUCGCGUGACAUUAGCUGGAUGGUAGGGUAACGGCUUACCAUGGCUACGAUGUCUAGGGGUUCUGAGAGGAAGGUCCCCCACACUGGAACUGAGACACGGUCCAGACUCCUACGGGAGGCAGCAGUGAGGAAUAUUGGACAAUGGAUGGAAAUCUGAUCCAGCCAUGCCGCGUGCAGGAAGACGGCCCUAUGGGUUGUAAACUGCUUUUGUAUGGGAGCAAUAAGAUCUACGUGUAGAUUGAUGAGAGUACCAUACGAAUAAGCACCGGCUAACU
rnacentral:rRNA from 1 species